CUCUGUGUCUUCACAUGGCGCUCUUAUAAGGACACCAGUCACUGGACUAAGGGCCUGCCUACUCCAGCAAGACCAUAUCUUAACGUGAUCACGUCUGCAAAGACUAUUUCCAGAUAAGGUCAUACUUACAGGUCCCAGGGGUCAGGACUUUGACAUAUCUUUUAGGAGGACACAAUUCAAACCACACUCUUUCCAUCAAGUUGUACCCUCUCUGGGCAGCUUGGACCUUACAAUCUCUAUGUUUUCUUUCAGUCUGGCCUGGCUUUAAAAAUUUUGCUCUACCCACCACAGCACACUGCCUUCCUUCUGUCACCCCAGCACAGGGUCUUCCUUCUAUCACCCCAAUAACGGGGACCUGGCCCACUGCAGCCUCACCUGUGAAAUACACUCAGGGAUGUUAUGUAGAAGGACAGCAUGACAAAGUUCUCCCUCGGCUGCAGGCAAAUGGCAUCCAUUUGUCUGUUCUACGAUGAGAACAAUCUUAAUUUUGAACAACUACUACUAAAAAAAAAGCAAACAGUUAAUAUACUAAAUUACAUUAAAUUUUUUUCUAAUAGUGAAUCUUCUUUCCAUUCUUGGGAUAAAUCCUACUUGGUCACGCUGUAUUAUUCUUUUACUACUUGGCUGAAUUGAAUUUGCUAAUAUUUUAUUUAGGUUUUUUUUCUAAAAGAAUUUAGGUGUCAUUCAAAAGUGAGAGUGGCCUGUAGUUGUGCUGAGUUACCCUCUGAUUUUGACACCAGGGUUCCUUGUAAAAUGACCUGUAAUAUCUUUUUGCAUGCUCUGAAAUAGUUAACGUAAUACAAGAAUUAUCUAUUCCUUGAACAAUUGGGAGAUUUUUAUCCUUAUUUUAGGGACAAAUUUAUUUUCUUGAUGAGCCAAUUUUGGUAGUUUUUAUUUACUUAGAAAAUCAUAUACUUCACUUAGAUUUUCUAAUUAAUUGGCCAAAAGUUGCAUAUAAUAUUCUUUUCUUUUUAAAAUCUCUCUGUAGUUGUAUUCUCUUUUUUGUUUGUGUCUUCUUUUUUUUUUUCUAAUCAGACUUGCCAAAGAUUUUUCUCUUUUAUUAGCCUUUUCAAAGAAGAUGUUUUUGGAAUUACUGAUGAAUUCUACUCCACUUUCUGACUUCAUUUUUAAUUAUUUCUUUUUACCUUCUUUGAGCGUAUUUUUCUAGCUUCUUGAAUUGAAAGCUAAGUUCAAUAACUUUUAGUCUUAUGUAUCACUUCAUAAAUGAACUUAGGGCUAUGAAUUUUCCUUUGAAUAUGGAUUUGGCUUCAUCCCAUAGGUUUUUACAUUCAGUGCUUUGCUGCCAUUCAUUUCAAAUACUGUUGUUUAAAAUGUUCACUUUGACUUCCUCAUUUAACCUAAGAGUUAUUUAGCUUUUGUAUAUAAUGCAUUGUUCUUCGAGAUUUUUCUAUUGAAAAUUUUAUUGAGAUCAUUGUAAAUCACAUGCAGGUGUAAGAAAUAACAGAGAGAUCUCUUGCACACUAUCCAGUUUCCCCAACGGUAACAUUUUACAAAACUGGAAUAUCACAACCAGGACAUUGAUAGUGAUGUAAUCCACAGAUUUUAAUCAGAUUUCCCCACUUUCACUUGUCCUUAUUUGUGUGUGUGGUGUGUGUAUGUCUUAAGUUCUAUACAAUUUGAUCACUUGUACACAUCUAUGUAUACACCACAAGAGUAACUUUGGAGAUUUUAAAGGCCCUCUAUUGUCACUCUAUGUUUGCCAUUUUUUCACUCACAAUAUCAUCAAUUUUUAUUUAAUGUAUUUGAAGCUACACUGUUAAGUACAGAAAGUCCAUGACUUUUACCUUUUACCUUUUGAAAAGUAGAAUAUUCCUUUUAUCAGUUUGAACAAUUCCUUUACACCUAAAAUAUUUUUUACUUUUAGUUCUCUUUUCUCUGAUAUUAAUAUUGCUAUAUUUGCUUUCUUUGCUGUGUUUGUUAGGGAUUUCAUUCCUCAUCCUUUUAUUUUCAUACUUCUUAAGCUGUUGUAUUUUUUUUCAGUCUCAUUAAAAAUUUUUUUAACUUAUUUUGAGAGACUAUCUUUAAUUAGUGAAUUUAACUUGUUUGCAUUUUUUUUUGUGCUUACUGAUGUUUAGACCAAUUCCUGUCAUUUUCUAUUUACCAUAUUUAUUUUCUUUCACCUUCUUUGCCCUUUAUUGGAUUCAUUUUGCUUUGUUAGAUACACCUUUUUUUCUAUAAUAGAUUGGACGCUAUGUUUUAUUUUCAUUUUUUCUAGAGCAGGGGUCAGAAAAUUUUUUCCGUAAAGGCCACAUAGUAAAACUUUCAGGCUAUGUGGGCCAUGCAGUCUCGGUUGCAACUACUCAGCUGUGCCACUACAGCAUGAAAGCAGCCACAGAAAAUACAUGAACUAAUGGUUGUGGCAGUGUUCUAAUAAAACUUUAUUUACACAAACAGAUGUUGGGCCAGAUCUGACCUAAAGGCCAUGGUUUGCUGACUCUUGUUACAGUGAUAAUCUUUAAAUAUUUAAACACACACAAUUAAAUGUAUAAUUCUCUACAGUGCCCAGAUUUAACAAGGAUCUAUCUUUCCUUCCCCAAUGAAAGAAACUUAACAGUUCAUUCCACUUCCUCAUUUAUCCUCCAAAACUGUGUAGCUCACUCCAGAACCCCAUCCUGCCUCCUCAUGUCGCAUCUAGGCUUGGAGCACACCUAGGAACCUCUCUACCUCCUGGGUACACUUUUGGCCACUGUUUCUAUUUUCAGUAUAAACCCAUUUUCACUCCAUCUUUUGGAAAUUCCUCAUGGUUUCUUACCACUAAAGGCAUCUCUUUGCCCACAUGGAUAUUUAAUAAUAUUUGUUCUAUCAUAUUGAGGGAUUUGGAGCACGAAGGUGGCUGUGGUCUGCCCUCCAUCUGGAAACUGUAAUCUUGCCCCUGCUUAAACUUCCAGGGAUUUUUUUCAAAACAUGAGAUCAAAGAGAACAUGAGUUGGUCUUUUGCUGGUAGCAAAUGCAGGGAGGCUGUCAGCAGCCGUGUCCCUCCACGUAGCCUGUCUGGGACAAUGGAACCAGCGCCCACAAUGGAAUGGGCCUCAAUAGAGCUGAAUACAAGCAAAGUCUUGGUGACAUUCGGAUCUGUGACUCCAGCCGCUGCUGAGGCUGGCUGCCCCCGGCCUUCAUCCUGUAGUGGCAGGUCCCUUUUCCACCAGAGCUACCUCAAAUUGGACUUCUGUUUUUCACAACCAGAAAAGUCCUGACUAAUAGUAGGAUGAUGCUCUUCUGCUGACCUUCUGCAUGUUAUCCACUUGCUCAGAAAACUUUUUCCUCCUAAAGGGCAUAAAGAUACAUUUCACUCUACGCCAAGGUCAAAAAAUGAUUGAAAAUUCAAAAUCAGCUAAGUUGUUUUUUCUCUGUGUAAUCAUUCUGAAAUCUCACAGUCUGCCUUCUGAGUCCACGUAAGUCGUGGGGAGUUGAUCUGGUAGGGGGAAGGACACAGCUGGUUGGGGGUAGAGGGCAGAUGCCAGGUGACCUGCAGUCUGGUGUUCCGACAUUCACCACUCUUUCAUUAUGCAAAGACUUUAUCCGUAAAAUAUGGGCACUUUCUGUGAAUCUGGAGAGUUGCCCUGGGCUUCUAACAAGUCUAGGCCCACCUGCACGGGGCCUGGAACUACCACAAAGGCUUCUCCCCGCCAGGAGGUGGUAACACCACCAGCUCUGCCCACCCAGUGUGCACACAGCACCAUGCGGGCUUGGUGCUAAACAGACACAAUGCUUGGGACUAAAAUAAAACCCAGCUCGGUGACAUCUUGACGCAGCUUUGCAGGAACAGCAGGCUCCCAUGUACACACUGUCCCGCUCUGCACGCCUAUUUGUAAAUUAAUCACACAUCAGUAGACUUUGCUUACAUUCACAUGUUUCUGGACCACUCUGAGGGCAGCUUGGGCCACGGGAUCCUCUGAUCAACUUCAAAACCAGGCCCAUCCUUACAACAGAUCCUAGAUGGGGAUCCUCCUUGCCAGACUCCUAGGCCACCCACUUGCUCCCCUCCCCUGCAGAAACAUACGAGACGUCCAGGGCAGGGGGAACCCAUGCCAGGGGCUCCCCAUGAGCCUCAUCUACAAAAGUGUUUCCAAUACACUAAUAUGAUGAUUUUAAGACAGACAGACAGACAGACAGACACAUGCUUGUAAGAUGUUAGUGGAAGCUGUGUGAAAGCAAGAUUAAAAGAAAUGGAGAGAAGGUAGUUAAGAGAGUGGCACCUUUUUGUUAUGUGUUCACACCCCCACCAGCCAUCGUCAAGGGGCCCCGCCUCCCUCUGGGGUUAUUCUCUGUGCUGUCAACCUCUCUCCACCUCUCCCCCCAGGUCCACCUGGCUACUGGAACACUGCCCGGUCCCAAGGCAGUUCAAGCUUCCUUGAGUUAGCCCUGAGAGUCCCUGGGUCCCAGACCCUGGCCCUGAGGUCAGGGAAGUGGUGGAAGGUCACUGGAAACAUAACCUGGGCCACAGUUUACUUGUCUGGGAAGGAAAACUAUCGCGUGAACUUUGCCAGAGCUCUUAGGCAGCGCUAGGCACCCAAGCGGAGGAGUGUAGGCUGAUAGCACACAUUCACGUUGCCUGGGAAACACACACCUAUUUAGAGCUGCCCCAGAGUGUUCUGUGCCAGCUUCUCACCGUGAAGGCUUCACAUGAGCAGACAGACAUGGGGACAGUGCACCUGGGCUGCUCACCCUGGAGGGCACCUUCACGGGCCUGGGUAGGUUUCUCUGUCAGCAGCUCUUACCAAAGCCAGGAGGCCCAGGAUCAGGGCCUGAAGCAUGAAAGAAUAGAACUGCCCUGCCCUCCUCUUCCAACAAGUCUUCCUAAGUUAAUGGAGAAAGGCUUAUAGUCUUUUGUUCUCUCCCAGCCCUGUAUGACACUGGACACUGUCCCUGUCCUCCCGGCACUGGGCCAGGAGCUGGGGUAACUGCCCACAACCUGAGCCUCAGCAUGUGCUCUCUCCACAUUCAGCAAAAGUAGGGGGUCACGGCAUUUGGCUGCCCCACAGAAUUACAUUAAGAAUGAGGCCAACAACUAGAGAGUGUAACAUGCCUUAAAGUUUUCCCUACAGGGCUUCGCAGUCCCAGGAGUUCACGGUUCACUGAGGUCCAGCCCUUGGCCUUGAACGGGGACCAAGCAGGUGUGGACUCAAGUCACUGCUCAACUUUGGGCAAGUCAGGGCACUGUGAAGCUUCAGAUCCUGAAUGCGGGAGAUGUGAAUGUGUGUGUGCGUGUGACUCUCUUCCUAACAGGAACGUUGGGAAGAGCAAAGGAAGGAAUGUUCCUAAGAGUGCAAAUGGCACCAUCGGUCUCUUCAUCUUAUAAAUAUUUACGAAGUGCCCUAGAUAGACCCCCUGUGAAAUCAGGGAUGGGCAGAAGACAGGAGCAGCGGUUUCUGAGGAUUCUCUCCACUACCACAGGCAAUGGGCCUACAGACUCUGAAGCUGGGGCUCCCCAGGGCCCACGGAGGCCAAGGGCGCUGGGGUGAAAGCUCAGACACCUGGACACCUGGCUAAUUGCAGCGAGCCUCUCGGGCUCCCCACUCCCCAUGCCUACCCCAAGCUGCAGAACAAACCCCAGGAGGCUAGGGAAGAGCAGGAGGGGGAGAAAGCAGUGCCAUCUGGCUGGUCCUGAAUUAUUAACCAUGGAGGAGGAGGUGCAGUCAGGGUCAGCCAAGGAGGCGAUCAGGUGCGGCUGCCCCUGGAGGCAGGGAGGGGGACUAGGACCCCUUGGCUGCACAGACCCAAGGAAUCCAGAGGUUCAAGUGUGACCUUCGACAGCAGCAGGGCCCUGAGCCCAGCAAAAACAAACCACACCUCACUCCCUGAGCUUCACUCUUCAACGUAGGGAUGAACCAACGCUCCUCGUUCCUCCCUUCUGUGCAUUUUGCAGAAGAGUAAACUCAGGCUGGGAGAGAUCACGCAGUUCACCCAAAGUCUCAUGGCUGCCAGGUCCCGAAGCACCAUCCCAAGUCCCUCCUUGUGGUUCCCACAUCCCCUAGGCAGAAGUGGAAAUCUCUCUCUAAUUUGCCCCACCUGUUGUCCCUAUUCCACCUGGCCUCCAUCCGGGCCCUGUCAGCUCUCCCUGUGGGGGGCAAAACAGCUUCCUAAUUGACUCCCAUGCUUCUAGUUUGGGUCCCCCCCAAAUCCUCCUUCUAGAAGCUGUCAGAGUGCAUCUGACUGCGUUGGGCAGCUCCCUCCAGGAUCAGAGGCCCGCUCCCAGACGUCACUCAAGGCCCUCAUGCUCAGCUCCACGACCCCUUGGGUCCUCCCACCGAGGCCAUUUAGAUUCUCCCGCUCUACCCACCCUUCUCACUGCUGGCUGAAGCCAGGCUGCAGGCAGCUGUGCACCCUGGGCCCCAGCUUUGAAGCCUCAAGGGCAGCGCUCACGUCUACACAGUCCCCAGUGUUGGCGCGCGGCAGGGGCUCCCUCACUGUUGCCUGAGUGUUUGCUGAGAUUCACACUUGCUGUUCCUUCUGUUGGAAAAAGCCCUUCCCCACCUGGUCUACCUGGCAAACUUCCAAAGUGUCCUUUAAGACAGCUUAACCAGCACUUGCUGCUUGAGCCCUCCCAGACCACUCCAGGCGAAGCUGGGUGCCAGGGGCCCCUGAAAGCACCUUGCCUCCGGCUCUUACCACAUUCUCACCCUUCCCACUAUCUGUCCCUAAACUGUGAGGCUCAAGGGCAGUGCCUGUGUCUGGUUCAUCUCUGUGUCUUCAGUGGGGAGCACACCGCGAGGUGCUCUGCAGACCUCCACAAACAUUCAGGAAUCCUCAGCUGCAGGGGCGCUGGGGGUGGGCAAAUUGGGGAGGGGAGAAGACCACCUGAGGCACAUGGCAGGGCACAAAGAGCCCUUGGGUUUCCUGGGUUCCCACCAGUCAGAGAGAAAGCACUCAGAGGCUUUGGGCCAUUUCCAGGGGUCUUCCAGAGCACAGUCUGGAGGGGGGCGACUCGAGGGACCACCUCCCACUGGGUCAGCCCCUAUCCCCAUACAUGGUGGCACUGGCCACUUGGCCUGAGUCCUGGUAAAGGGUCUACAAGAUGGAGCAGUGGGCCCAGUGAAGGCCAAGAAGGAACCUGCCUAGGCCCCAGACGUGACCUGUGGCACUGUGACUCCUGGGCUGGGUCUGUGCUCCCCUGUGUCGGGGGCACUGUCCCAGUCUCACAGCCACACAUGCAAGUAAUGCCCCUCCCACAGGUCCAGCUUGAUGCUUACUGGCUCAUCCUUCAUAGAAUCUAUCUGAACUUCUCUCUUGGACCAGUGGGAGACUGGGAGCUACAGCAGGCUGGACACAGGGCUGGCCUGAGGGCCCCAAAGCAGCAGGUACGGGGUGAGCUUAGGGCACAGCGGGCAAGGCAGAACCGAAGUCAGGCCGAAAGGCCCCAAGCACCUGAUGUACGUGUGAUUCCACUGAUGUGAGAUGAACCUGAAUUGUUCACCUUAACGUGGUGAGUUUUAUAUUAUGUGAAUUUCAAUUCCAAAAAGAUUUUUUUCCAGGGAAAAAAAGGUCAGGCAAAACUCCAGGUGUCAGUUUCCUUUCUUUAUCCAACAAGUCCUGGCAGCUGCCCCUUUCUUGGUGAGCCAGCAUCCCAGCUCCUCACAUCAACCAUUAGGCCUCGAAGGCUCAGAGCACCAAUCAUGGGUGAGUUUUCCAAGUCAACCCCCAACAUACUGUAAGAAAGGGGAAUUGACUGGGUCACUCUUCUGCUUAAAAACCUUCAAGAAUUCACCUUUAUUCAACAAAGAACACCUAGGCUCCUUAUCCUGGCACUCAAGGUCAUUCAUGAGCUGGUGACGGGACAACCUCAUGCGUGGAGAUCCCCAGCCGUGCUGGCUGCUUGUACUUCGUGCCAUCAUCUGGGUCCCCACCUCCCCAGGGACACCCUGCCUACUGAGCUGAGCCCCGCCAAGACCUGCCUUGUGGUUAAAGUUGCCCACAGCCCUGUGCCUGGCCCAUAGCCUCCUCAGCCAUACCUGCCUUCCCUCCGCUGAGCUCCCAGUGCACGAAGGGGGUCUGUUACUGCGGAGAAUGCUUCUUCACACCUGCACUGCUUUGGGAUCUUAUUUCCUUCACAAAACUGUGAGUUCUCCAAGGACCAGGGGCCAUGCGUCAUCUCCUCUGGAUCCCCAGGGCCCGAUACCACUGCAGGGCUGCCCAACUCCAGAGGGCGCCAUUCCCUUCCACAUAACAAUGCUCCCACCCGCUGCUCACUCAGUGGUUCAUCCUGAAGGGACAUACAAUCGCUCUACCACAGACAAAUGGUUCUAUCAAAAAAAGUCAAAAGAAACAACUGAGCCUCCCGUGGGAAGGGAUGAGUGGACACAGACUCAGGACAGCGCACCCAUGGGCAGAGGGGCAAGGCUAGGGUUGCAAGGCCAGCAGAGGGAAUGCCCAAUGGGGGGUGGAAAGUGGAGCCAAGAGAAGGUUCCAGAGCCCCUGGACACAGGUGUGGUACUCUGGUGCCUAGGGUGGGGCAGGGGUCCUUAAGGGUGUUAGGUUGACACAGAUGGGAUCACAGAACUCAGAAACUGAAGGGGAACUUGUCACCUAACCCCACCACUACAUAGAUGGGAAAUUAAGGCCCAGAGAGUUGAUCUGUUCAUCUAUCCAUCAAUGCAUCCAUUCAUCCAUCCAUCUAUCCACACAUACACCCAUGUAUCCAUCAAUUGUGCAUGCACAGAUGCACGCAUGCAUCCAUCCAUGCAUCUACCUCUCCCUCCCCUCCAUCUAGGGAGCCAGGGCAGUGCUGGAACUGGAGCCCAGAGCCCAGCCUCUCAACUCCAAGCUCUCCACCAUGGGCCACAGUUAACUUCUUUAAGCCCAUGGCAGCCCUGAGAAACUUUCUGACCCUGUAAGGGUAGGCAAGAAGAAAGUCCAGCUAGGGGGAUCAUGCCAAGGUAUGUACUACAUCAGGCACCUGCCCUAAAGCCAGUUCACUGACAGCUCUGUCAGGGCAGCCGUCCCCGAGCCCACUCUGCAGAUGAGGAAACUGCAGCCAUCACAGGAUCCCUCUGAUGGCCAAGAGCACGCUCUCUCUCUGCACUAUGGCAUGGCAGGGCAGGUGUGGCUCAUGUCGGGGGCAGGAGGGUUCCCAGUGGGCAAGAAGCUGAGCGAAUGCUCCGAGGCAGGACUGCCAUGCCAGGAGGUGCGGGGUCCUUGGGCUGUCACAGGAUGAUGGGAGAUGAUGGAAAAGAGCUUGCACACUGGGGAGCAUGGACGCUCGAGGAUUUUAGAGCCUGCCGAAGCACCUGGACACAAGGGAGCUCCUGAAGGUAGUGGGGGAGGUGGUCCCCAAGAACAGCAGACAGAUGGGCUUUGGGCAAAGCCAUGCAGUGUGCCUGUGGCUUCGGAGGGUACUGUAGAAAAGAUCCAAGGGCCAAGCCGCUACGACCACUAUUGCCACCAGCCGCUGGGAAAAGACAAGGCGGGGGAGUGGCACAGGUGCUCGUACAAAAGGGACAUCUGAGAAGCAGGAGCUGUGGUGGCGGGAGGUGGGCGAGGGGUCCCAAGGGAGGCCCUGUGGCUGCAGAGGGCUCCUGCUGCCUCCUCUCCUCCCUGCUGAGGGAGGGGCCUGGCUCGCAUCUGUCUGCUCCCCUCCAUGUGCACCUGGGUCCCCACAGGCUUGCUCCCUCCCAAUUUCAACAUGCUUUGGCUGUAAAUCCAGGGAGGCACAUUGCUGGGGCCUCACAUUCCCUCCUAGAGAGGCGGCAAGACGGAAGACAAGUUGGAGCCCAGCACCUGCCCUUCUCACCUGUCCUUAGAUAUGGUACUUAAAACUCUGAGCCUCAGUUUACUCAUCUGCAAAGGGGGGUGGUAAUACAUCCAAUGAGGGAUCAGACAUAAGUGUGGAGAGCACCCCACACCAUGCCUAGUGAUAAGGAUGUGUUCUAUCACCCAUGGUGAUAUUAAAAAUAUCUAACCUCUAGGUACUAUCAGCGGCGUUGGCUGUGGGAUUGGGUGAGGUCCUGGAGACCCCACAGAUGGCAUCAUCCCCUGUAGCUCCAGGAAUCCCAGGGGAGGGAUACUGUAGGGGGCUGGGGGCAGAGGCUAUUUGUAGCUGGUACAAAAGUAGAGGUCUUACCCUUGGGCCAGAUGUAUUUAAGAAUUCAGAACUCCCUGGACUUUAGAUGGUAAUGCUGCGUAUUUCAGCAGCAUCCAGUAAUCAAAUAAGUUGACAUUUCUGCAGGAAAUACGUGAAUGCAAAAUGCAUAAAGGCUAUAAAUAGCCUUACUCGGACUAUAAAUAGCCUCACCUCAGUUCAGGCAGGAUUUUGCUGCCAAACGAGUUAUGAAAAAGCGUUUGGUUUUCAGAGCUUGCCGGAUUUGGGAAUUGAAGAUAAGGAACUGUGGCUCUGCACUUCAAUGCUUUUCACCACAUACCAGGGACACAAACAUGCGUCAGUCCUGUUCAUCCCACAGCCGAUGCAGUCCAGAUGAGGGUCACGUGCGUCCUGCCCCAAAGACUCGCCAGGCUCUGACCUGACGGACACAGCGCAAGGAGAUCAAUCACAAAGCAAACACACUCACACACAUACACACACGCACACAGCAAUUCGUAUAAAUAUAUUAAUUGCACCAGCCGCAGGCACAGAGGCAAACAACGUCAGAAGCCCAGCUCUGCGGAUGGAACCUAGCCCUGGGCAGUCCCCAGUGGCCACAGAUACCCUGCCCAAGCCAACGCCUGCCCACCCUGAGGAGCCCUGCGCGUCUCGAGGCCCUGUCUGGAUGAGGGGAGGAGGGGGCAAGAAUGAGGACUGCGCUGGAGCUUGGCGGCCAAGGACUUCCUGAUCCCUGGACCCUGAGGGGCAGGAAGAGCGCCGGGCAGACUGGGAUCUAGUCCUGGCACUGCCACUUAGCAGCGGGCAGCCUUGGACAGGUGGCCUGACCUCCUCACUGAGCUGUAUCUCUUCACCUGCGAAGUCUGAAUAAUUGGGCCUCACGGGGUUUUGCGAGGAGCGUGAAGGCGCCCUGGGGCCUGGUGCUUGAGAAGCUUGCUGACUGUUCUGCGAAGUUGCCUCAGUGUACGGUAUAAAGAGGCGGCCCCUUCAGCUCCAGAAGUGCCCUUCCCGCCCCCAAGGCUCUCUGUUGAGAUGAGAGGCUCAGAGAAGGGAAGCCACAUGCCCAAGGUCAUUCACAAGUCAGACCUCGCAGGGGGCCAGUAGGCUCCAGUGAGGGCUGAGCUUCUCAGCAUGGUGUGUCCUUGUCUUCCUGGAGGAGAAAAUGGGGGCCCAUGAGCAGCUAAGGCAGCGUGGCUCGGAGAGGAGGGUACGUGUGAGGUAGGGCGUUCUGGAAUGAUCAUCUUCCCACUGGGGCCUGGAGCUAAUUACAGAUUAAGGGGGGCCAGAGCAUGUAGUGGGAAUCUGAUGAGCCCAGCUGACUCCUGACCCUGUACUUUUUUCACCAGACUCUCUGAAAGUCCCAGGGUUGGAUUCACAAUAGCCAAAAGACGGAAGCAGCCCAAGUGUCCACUGAUGGAGGAACUGAUAAACAAAUAUGGUCUGUCCAUACAAUGGAAUAUUAUUCAGCCUUAAAAAGGAAGGAAAUUCUGACAAAGGCUACAACGUGGAUGAACCUUAAAGAUAUCACGCUAAGUGAAGGAAGCCAGCUACAAAAGAUCACAUACUGUAUGAUUCCACUUAUACAAGGCACCCAGAGGAGUCACACUGAUAGAGACACAAAGUAGAAUGGUGGGUUCCAGGGGCUGGGGGCAAGGGGGACAGGGCGUUAGUGUUUAAUGGGGACAGAGUCUCAGUUUGGGGAAAGAAAAGAGUUCUGGAGAUGGAUCAUGGUGAUGGUUGAACAACAAUGUGUAUGGACUUAAUUUUAUUGAACUGUACACUUAGGAAUGGUUAAAAUGAUAAAUUCUGUUAUGUGUAUUUUACCACAAUUAAAAAAAGACAGAAAAGAAAAAAGCCCCAGAGCUGGGCGUGUGGUCCCCUUUUGGGGUAAUGAAAAUGUUUUGGAACUAGACAGAGGUGAUGAUUGCACAAUGUUGAGAAUGUCAUAAACGCCACUGAACUGUUUACUUUAAAAUGGUUAAUUUUAUGUUAUGUGAAUUUCACCUCAAUAAAAAAAAUUUAAAGCC